GACGAACGCUGGCGGCGUGCCUAAUACAUGCAAGUAGAACGCUGAAGGAGGAGCUUGCUCUUCUGGAUGAGUUGCGAACGGGUGAGUAACGCGUAGGUAACCUGCCUGGUAGCGGGGGAUAACUAUUGGAAACGAUAGCUAAUACCGCAUAACAGUAGAUGUUGCAUGACAUUUGCUUAAAAGGUGCAAUUGCAUCACUACCAGAUGGACCUGCGUUGUAUUAGCUAGUUGGUGGGGUAACGGCUCACCAAGGCGACGAUACAUAGCCGACCUGAGAGGGUGAUCGUCCACACUGGGACUGAGACACGGCCCAGACUCCUACGGGAGGCAGCAGUAGGGAAUCUUCGGCAAUGGACGGAAGUCUGACCGAGCAACGCCGCGUGAGUGAAGAAGGUUUUCGGAUCGUAAAGCUCUGUUGUAAGAGAAGAACGAGUGUGAGAGUGGAAAGUUCACACUGUGACGGUAGCUUACCAGAAAGGGACGGCUAACUACGUG
rnacentral:rRNA from 1 species